rnacentral:sRNA from 1 species
GAAACCAGCUUACGAGGUCCAGGCCGGCGUCCGGGUGCACUACAGGCCCCCCGUCCCUCCUUCCCCAGGCCAGCCCCUCGCUCCGGAUUGGUCCUUCAGGAAACGCUGUGGGGCGUCUCGGUCCCCGCUGCGGAGCCGGCCUAGGCUGGAGGGCGGGGUUUGCCCUGGGCCGCUGCCGGUCAGGUCGGCCGCCCCUGACAGCUCCGGGAGCCUCAAGCGCGACAGCGGCGCCCUCACCUCGGGACAUCCACACACCGACCGCUCCUGCUCCAGAGGCAACCACCCAGCGCGCCUAGCCUGGCGCCGUGCAGCGAAGCCCAAGAGCUGGCCUCGCCACGAAGAGAUGGGGUCUCACUGUGUUGCCUAGGCUGGUCUUGAGCUCCUGGACUCAAACCAUCCACCCAUCUCGGUCUCCCAAAGUGCUGGGAUUAUAGGUGUGAGCCACCACAACCAGCCUAUUUUCUUUUUAAAGGAUGAACCAGCCAAAUUUUCAAGACAGCUCACGGCUUAGAGGAAGGUUCAUCUAAAUAAAGGCCGGCUAAAGUGACAUUGCAGGGAUUAAAUCCUUCUUUGGCUGCCUGUGUGACCAGAAGGCUUAUUUGCAAGUUUCUUCUUUCCUGGGGUCCAGAUUAUUAGGUCUCCAGCGCCCUGCAGCUUGACAGAAAGAGAAGCAUGAAAUGAAGGUCAGAGAUGAGAUCCCGCGGCAGGGACUUGGGGGCCU